rnacentral:tRNA from 1 species
GAAUGUGUAGCUCAGUGGGAGAGCACUUAUCUAGCACAUGCUCAAGGUUUGGGUUCAAACCUCAACACCAUCA